UACGUAGGGGGCGAGCGUUAUCCGGAUUUACUGGGCGUAUAGAGCUCGUAGGCGGGGCCCCAAGUCAAAUGUGAAAGCUUCCAGCUUAACUGGGAGAGGUCGUUUGAGACUGGGGUUCUUGAGGGCAGGAGAGGGAGGUGGAAUUCCCGGUGGAGCGGUGGAAUGCGUAGAUAUCGGGAGGAACACCAGUGGCGAAGGCGGCCUCCUGGCCUGUGCCUGACGCUGAGGAGCGAAAGCUAGGGGAGCAAACGGGAUUAGAUACCCCCGUA
rnacentral:rRNA from 1 species